AUACGGAGGAUGCGAGCGUUAUCCGGAUUUAUUGGGUUUAAAGGGUGCGUAGGUGGUAGAUUAAGUCAGCGGUGAAAGUUUGUCGCUCAACGAUAAAAUUGCCGUUGAUACUGGUUUACUUGAGUAUAGUUGAAGUAGGCGGAAUGCGUGGUGUAGCGGUGAAAUGCAUAGAUAUCACGCAGAACUCCGAUUGCGAAGGCAGCUUACUAAGUUAUAACUGACACUGAAGCACGAAAGCGUGGGUAUCAAACAGGAUUAGAUACCCUGGUAGUCCACGCAGUAAACGAUGAUUACUAGCUGUUUGCGAUAUACAGUAAGUGACUGAGCGAAAGCAUUAAGUAAUCCACCUGGGGAGUACGUCGGCAACGAUGAAACUUAAAGGAAUUGACGGGG
rnacentral:rRNA from 1 species